UACGUAGGUGGCGAGUGUUAUUCGGAUUUACUGGGCGUAAAGGGUUCGUAGGGGGCUUGCCAAGUCCGGUGUGAAAGCCUGUGGCUCAACCACAGAACGGCACUGGAAACUGGCGAGCUAGAGGACCGGAGAGGAGAGUGGAAUACCUGGUGUAGCGGUGGAAUGCGUAGAUAUCAGGUGGAACACCGAUGGCGAAGGCAGCUCUCUGGACGGUACCUGACCCUGAGGAACGAAAGUUGGGGUAGCAAACAGG
rnacentral:rRNA from 1 species